AGAGUUUGAUCAUGGCUCAGGACGAACGCUGGCGGCGUGCUUAACACAUGCAAGUCGAACAGUGAACCACUUUCGGGUGGGGAUCAGUGGCGAACGGGUGAGUAACACGUGAGCAACCUGCCCCUAGCUCUGGAAUAACCCCGGGAAACCGGGGCUAAUUCCGGAUAUUAACCUGGUUGGCAUCUUCUGGGUUGGAAAGUUUUUCGGCUGGGGAUGGGCUCGCGGCCUAUCAGCUUGUUGGUGGGGUAGUGGCCUACCAAGGCGACGACGGGUAGCCGGCCUGAGAGGGCGACCGGCCACACUGGGACUGAGACACGGCCCAGACUCCUACGGGAGGCAGCAGUGGGGAAUAUUGCGCAAUGGGCGAAAGCCUGACGCAGCGACGCCGCGUGAGGGAUGAAGGCCUUCGGGUUGUAAACCUCUUUCAGCAGGGAAGAAGCGCAAGUGACGGUACCUGCAGAAGAAGCACCGGCUAACUACGUGCCAGCAGCCGCGGUAAUACGUAGGGUGCAAGCGUUGUCCGGAAUUAUUGGGCGUAAAGAGCUCGUAGGCGGCCUGUCGCGUCGGAUGUGAAAAUCCAAGGCUCAACCUUGGACCUGCAUUCGAUACGGGCAGGCUAGAGUUCGGUAGGGGAGACUGGAAUUCCUGGUGUAGCGGUGAAAUGCGCAGAUAUCAGGAGGAACACCGGUGGCGAAGGCGGGUCUCUGGGCCGAUACUGACGCUGAGGAGCGAAAGCGUGGGGAGCGAACAGGAUUAGAUACCCUAGUAGUCC
rnacentral:rRNA from 1 species